GACUACUAGGGUAUCUAAUCCCGUUUGCUCCCCUAGCUUUCGCACCUCAGCGUCAGUUGUGGACCAGAGAGCCGCCUUCGCCACCGGUGUUCCUCCUGAUAUCUACGCAUUUCACCGCUCCACCAGGAGUUCCGCUCUCCCCUACCACACUCGAGCAUCGCAGUCUGCCAGGCAGUUCCACGGGUAAGCCGUGGGAUUUCACCCCACACUUGCGAUGCCGCCUACGUGCGCUUUAAGCCCAGUAAUUCCGAACAACGUUUGCACUCUCUGUAUUACCGCGGCUGCUGGCACAGAGUUAGCCAGUGCUUCCUCUCGAGCUUACGUCAAGGCAUACGGCUGUUCGCCGCAUACCCUUCUUAACUCGUGACAGGAGUUUACAACCCGAAGGCCUUCGUCCUCCACGCGGCGUCGCUCCGUCAGGCUUUCGCCCAUUGCGGAAGAUUCUCGACUGCAGCCCCCCGUAGG
rnacentral:rRNA from 1 species